rnacentral:rRNA from 1 species
AGUUGGUUUUGCCUUAAGUCGUUGACUCAACCUUUUUUAGGAGAGAGGCGCCCAAGGUGAGGCUGAUGACUGGGAUGAAGUCGUAACAAGGUAGCCCUACCGGAAGGUGGGGCUGGAUCACC